UCUUUUAUGACCCUCCCAGACCUCUCUCCCACUUACCUCAAGACCUCUGCUUAUCUCCCCAGUCUCCCUACUUCAUCAGGAGAAUUCAAACCAUGGGGCAUCAUCUCCCUAACUUUCACCCUUCCUACCUCCCUCCUCCCACACCCUUGCUUCCCUUCCUGCCACUGCAGAGGGAAAUGUAGCCCUUCUGCUCAGAGCCAGUCCUUCUAUCUGUGCCACUGAUAACUGUUAAAACUCCACUACCCUUUCCACACAGUGGGUCUGGAUCUCUGUUAAGGGAGUUCUGUUACUCAUUCAUCAUUGUACUCCUGGAGUCUAGUACACUGCCAGGGACAGGCAAGAUGCCCAAUAAGCAUUUAUCGAAUAAACGCUUUUUUUUUUUAAUCUGGGGGCUGUACCACAGUUCCUAAAAAUUGUCUAGAGACGUAAGACAACUGUUGACACCUGAUGCUUCAUGGGUUAUUGAUAUAGAGAGAGUAGUUUCCCCUGACUCUGAGAGUGGGCUAAAUUUGGAGGAGAUAAUCCAGGAGGGAAUGUGGCUGGCAGGCUAGGGAGUUCCUCCUGGGUCAGGUCAGUGCCGUCCAGCUGUGAGUUUGCUGUAUUAAUACCUCCUACUUGUCUUCUCUGAUCACUGCUGUCUAGUCUAAUUAUUUGCAAGAAGCACACUGAAAUUAAGAAAACUUCUCUGCCCCUGCCCCACUUCUGCCGACCAUCACUAGUCCUGAGCAAUUUAGGACAUUGCGAAAUCAGGUGCUCAGGCCACUGUCGCCCACUACCCAGCCCCAUUCAUCAGAGCGGUCGUUUGGAUCACCCUUGCUGUGCGGCCCCUUUACCUGUUGAUGAAGGCCUCUUCUCAUACAGCUGACCCGGCUGGAACCCAGAUUACCCGGUUUCAAGGGAUGGGUUAGCAGGUUGGUGAGUUGGCGUGCCACGGUCCUGGCCACUUUGAAGGUCAGUGUGACUCCAUUCCUUUCUCACCAGCAAACUCUCUGACGCCUGCCUUUGGAGAGCAGCGUUCCUUUUCUGGGAAAUUCGUUGUGGUAAGAAGCCUAACGUGCAGGUUUUCCUCACAGGGUUUAGCAUCAGCCUGCAAGACCUCUGGAAUUUUAAUACUCACUCCCCUCCCCACAUUUGCGGCUUUAGUCAUUUCUUCUUUCUGGUUGUUGGGGAAUAUGUACGUUGGCAAAGGUAAAAAGUGAAUUGCCCAUCUUUACAUCUGUCAAGCUCCAAAGCACCGUUAGCAAGCAUGCAAGGCAUGUUUCAGGAACCUUUUUCCUUCAGUUUGGAUCUAGGUUUACAAUAAACUGUAGUUGUUUUGCCUUAACCUUGAUACUUUCUGCCCAAAGCACAUGGGGUUGGUUUGGAGAGUAUGUCGCCUCCUUCCUCUCACACGGGGAGAACGUGUGCUCUCCAGCUCACACAGAGCACAAAGUAAUUGAACCAGAAUAGGGCAAAAAUAGUGUCUCCUAAAUUCUAUCUUUGAAUUUUCCCCAAAUGUCUUCACUUAGAAUACUUCUGAUGUACUUAACCUUUCUCAUUCCUGCUCAUGAAAUUAUAUUGAUUCUAUUGACCAGGUGGGCUAUUGGGUUUUGGUUCAUUAUUAAUCCGGAUAUCCCAUGCCUAGCAUUCAGUAAAUAUGUUUUUAAAUUAGUUAAUUCAUCCAUUCACUCAUUCAUUCAUAAAAUGAAUGGCCCUUCUAAAGUUUUCAUGUCUCUAAUAUUGGAAGUAGGUAAUAUUGGGUGGUAUUGACAAUUUAUUACGCAGUUGAGAGAAGCAUUGCAUUACCUUUUAUUUCAUGGUUUGAAAAUAUUUUUUGAGGAAGUUCUAUCUUGAGAGAAUAGUAUACUCUACAUUUAUUAUAAAUUGAUAAUAAAUUAACUAGAUAACGUUAAAUACAUUUUACAAUAGAGCCUAAAGGGAUAAACUGAUGAAACAUUGUAUCAUGUUUUAUAGCUGAGAAAAAAUAGUUUUCCAGAUGAAUAUAUUCAGUCCCUGUAGGGAGAAAAAUGUAGUGAAAUGGGUAUGAGGUAACUGAUGUUCAUAACUCUCUUUUUCCUUUAGACACUAAGGUCCCUAUGAUUGCAGACCUCAUGGAGCUCACAAAACUUCCUCGUGGUGCCUGCCAGUGUUAUGAGACCAGGCACCACAGAGGCUCAAGACCAGCUCAGGGGAUCAACUUUAACAGAGAUUGCUCCUGGUUAUUGCCUUUCUCAUGCUGGACAAUCCCCUAUGGAUUCAGCAACUCUCCCCUCACCAGACCUUCUGAAAUCCAUAGUAAGCGUUAGGUUAUUAGAUCACAGUAGUGAAUGAGUCUGAAAAUGGCAUUCCCCCCCACCCCACAAUUCAGAGAUUUUUGUCCUGGGGGUGCGGUGGAAGAGUCUCAUCUUGUGACCUUCUUCUGAGUCUUGGCAUGUUGGACCGAUAGUACUUGCUCACUAACCCUGGAAGGAUUACCAUGUGGAGCGGAGUAUUCCUGACAUGUUACUUUAAGGAUAUUGCUUAAAUCUAAAAGCGCUCUCUCCAAUACUCAUCUUCAAUAGACAAGACAUGUCCAGAUUAUACCAAUCCUAUAUAUCAUCUAGAGAAAAGUAAUGUAUCUAGAACGUACAAAUCAGAAUACAGGUUAUCAUCAGGUAAUUCUAUCCAUGUAAAAUUGUUGUCUGGACAGGCAAAGCAAAGGCAAAAAUAGGCUACGGUCUUGGCCUCAGAACUCUUUCCCCUUAAGCUGGGUGCUCAGCAUAGCUCACCCCAUUCCAUUUGAGUAUUUGACUUGUAAAUUCUGCUGAGAUUCAAAAAGCCUGGGGUGCAAAUCCUGGCUCCACUACCUAACUGCAUAAACUUGGAAAAAUCGCUGACAUGUCUUUCUGUCUGUUUCCUUAUCUAUGUAAAGAAAUGGGGAUGGUAUAAGCUCCACGAGUGUUUGGAGCUCUGUGAACGUUCAAAUGCUAAACAAACAUUAGUUGUAGCUGGUUCUUAGGAGGCAGUCUAGCAUAGAGGUCAAGAGCAUGGACUCUGAAGUGAAGCAGUCUGGUUUGAGUCUCACUUACCAGCAUCAUGACCUUAGGUGUUACUUCUCUAAUUCUUUGUUUCCUUGCCUGUAAAAAGGAUGAUUUUAAUGAGCUAGAAUAGCUAUAAGGAUUAAAUGACACAAUCUAAAACCUCCUGUAUUUGCAUUUCUUUCUGGGUGAAUUCUGUGGCCAUGAACUGCUGUGGGAAGCCCGGAAGGACGGAAGACAGAUGUGGCCUCCACUGGGGAUGG